UGGCGGACGGGUGAGUAACACGUGAGUAACCUGCCCUUGACUCUGGGAUAACCUCCGGAAACGGAAGCUAAUACCGGAUAUGACGUACGGAGGCAUCUCCUGUGCGUGGAAAGAAUUUCGGUCAAGGAUGGACUCGCGGCCUAUCAGGUAGUUGGUGAGGUAACGGCUCACCAAGCCUACGACGGGUAGCCGGCCUGAGAGGGUGACCGGCCACACUGGGACUGAGACACGGCCCAGACUCCUACGGGAGGCAGCAGUGGGGAAUAUUGCACAAUGGGCGCAAGCCUGAUGCAGCAACGCCGCGUGAGGGACGACGGCCUUCGGGUUGUAAACCUCUUUUAGUAGGGAAGAAGCGAAAGUGACGGUACCUGCAGAAAAAGCACCGGCUAACUACGUGCCAGCAGCCGCGGUAAU
rnacentral:rRNA from 1 species